rnacentral:snRNA from 1 species
ACAGCCCCCUGCUGGGUCAGAGCUCAUUCAUUGCAUGGCAGAUGCGCUAACCUCUGUGGUUUCCCCAAAAGGGGAAACUCAGCUGCACAAUUUGUGGCAGUGGGGGACCGCAUACACACUUUCUCCUG